GGAAGGGACAUCAUCAGAGCAAAGAGCAGCGUGCGGAUCCCCUUGGCCCCUUUGAUCAGACGCAAGAUUCGACCAAUCCUGGCGAGCCGGAUCACUCGGAACAGGCACUUUUAGAGCUCAGUUUGGAUGUUUCGGAGGAACUCUCAGAGAAGCCCAUCAUUCUGCUUCUCCCAAUACUUGUGUACUCAGCUGCUGCAAUUGCAAUUGCCUGUUGAACCAAGAGGCCACACGUACAGAACUCCAUGUUGCACUCUGCAGUGGUUCCCAGCAAUGUGUGAGAAAGUCUGCCUACCCAUAUCUCAGCCAGACAGCGUCUCUCUUUUGAUCUCCAACCAUUCUAAGAGAGCCUGGUGAAGAAAUAUCUGGUCAGAGGGAGACCAAGAACAAAGGCUCUGCCUUCAUAAAUGAAGUUGGUGUAUAGGGGAAACCAUGAGAUGGGUAUUU